UCUCCUUCUGCGAGACAUUUUUAGUAUUAUUUACACGUCAUCUAAAAUACGUUGAUUUCUGCACGAUUUCAAGAUAAUGGAGCGUUGAACCAGGUUUAAAUUCAAAACAGCAGCCUAGUAAGUCGAACGCGUAGAACUAAUAAAUUAUUCCUUGAACAGACUUAAGAUUGCAGUUGAGUAUUAUUUUCACCGAUACAUUCUAACUGCAAAUGUAAUGUUGUAGCCACAAAAUUGAAAGGUUUGCCGUGUUAUUUAAGGACCAUUGACUGCUUAAAGAUUUUUGUAAUCUGUAAUAAAUCUCAAGCGUAUAACCUUAAUUUUAAUAUUAUUUCAAGAUUUUGUGCUUUUUGCUUUUAUAGAUAUGUAUUAAACUUGUGAAGUUUU